UAGUAUUUCACAUCAAGCAUUCAUGUACACAUAAUUAAACCUUGACCAUUAGCGAAGUGACUCUGGGCACGGUUGCUAACAUUUAGUGUCAUGGUAAACCUACCAAGCAAUGGAUAGGAAGGAGUGCCUAGUCCUAGGACCAGUCACCUUUAACUCAGAAAACCUAAAACAUGAAGUUUUAAAACGUGAGUAUAAACCCAAUGAGUAAACAUAAGAAGGGAACAAGCAUCAAUACGGGAAGUUUUAGAAAACACGAUGCACUUAUGUUGAAAACAAUGUAAUUUAACUUAAUUUCUUGUCACAACGAAAAUCCAUUUUUUGCUGCAGUGAAAAUCAAUUGGAAAGCAUUUCUCAAAUUUUAACAUUCAAUAGUCAAUGCAAGCACAAUAUAAUUUCCAUAACCUCUCUAUAUAUAACAUAUAUAAACAUACAUACGACCACCGGCAUCACCCCAACUCUCCCUCAGCUCACGUGCACUCCCACACCACACAUAAUUGGGUCAUCAUUAGCUCAUGUCCACUCCCGCAUCGCACAUAGUUGGGUCAUCAUCAGCUCAUGUGCACUCCUACACCGCACAUAUUUGGGUCAUAAUUAUCACACAAUAGUAUCAUUCAAUGCAUAACAUUCACAUCAACAUAACGUGGAAACACAGGAAUUCAUCACAUUCAUAUUUCACAACAUAAAAACAUUUCAUUAAGGGCUUGUUCUCAUGCAAAUUUUAAAGAAAAACCAACCAAAUAUCUCAAGUGGUUCAAUUAGGCAUAUAAUCAUUUAUUCCAAAACAUUUUGAUGCAAGUUCACUUACCUCAAUAAUGGCAACUCACAAGACUAACGUCCAUGAAUCUUAAUCCUGACAGUCUUAAAAUACCAUUAAAACCCAUAUUUAUCAAUAAACCAUAACAACCUCAAUCAAGUCAUAAAUUAUAUCUAAUAAUUCUAAUAAAUUUACAUUAGGCAAUCUACCCUCUAACCUAACAUUUAACCUAAAUUUCUAGUCUAAUUCUCAAACCCAUCAAAUCAACUAUUCCAAAUGUAAAGAUUCUUUACCUUGGUGAGCUUGGAGGCAUGAAGAUCAACAAAAACCUAAUAUUUUCAAAAAAAAAUAACUUGAAGACAUUAGGAAAUAAAAUAUGAAAAUAUAGCAAUAAAUUCAAAAUUUUCAAAAGUUGGAAAUAUAUAUCUUCAGCCUUAAAAAUGAAGAUUUGAAGUUAAAAAUCCAAGUGUUGUUGAAAGUAAAGUAGAAAUAGAAAAUAAAUGAAAGAAAGAGAGAUUUUCUUUCUCUCUUCUAGGGUUUAGAAGUGCUGGAAAUUGGGGUUAGAAGCUGCAGGUUUGAUGCCCAAGAAGUUUAGAGAAGAAAGGAGUAAGAAAAGAAAAGAAAUGAAAAGAAAACAAGGAAAAUCACAUGAAAAAUUUAAUUUU
rnacentral:lncRNA from 1 species